rnacentral:lncRNA from 1 species
CUUUCACGGUGUCCCACUUAUAAGAAAAAGAAUUGUGAAAAUCUAAAAGCUUCGGGAAUGGUUUCACACAUUACAUUCAUUGAGGAUUUUACCUUUUCUCAACAACGUGCAGGAAUGAAAGGAUAUUUACUCGAUGCAAAGACACAGAGAAAGAAACUAGAAACACAGAACAUGGCGGAAGAUAAUGUACCAUGUAAUUUGAUAAUGCAUAAUCGAUGAAACAAAAAAGGUAUUAGAAAAGGAAAAAUUUGUCGCGGCGAUAGUAUUUCCACAAACGCCACAAAUUUCACAGCAACCCUUCCUUGGCGUGCUUCCUUCGUCAUUUUGUUCAAUGGAUUUGACAAAGACGAACAGCCGUCGGGAAGUAUCAACAUUUUACGAAUUUGAUUUGUAUCAGGUAGUCGCAAUAUGUGAAACAUCAGCUUCUUGCAAUAAAAUAUACCUAUUCCUCAUGACAGUUAUUGUCUGAAGUGGUUCCUCUAUGCAGAGUGUCCUUAUUUAACUUAUUUAAUUACAAUAAUUAACAUUGCAAUCUGUUCUUCAUCCAAUGCUAUUGUAACAACUGAAUAUGGCGAAAGAAUAGAGGAUGAAUCAGUAAUUAAUUUCCAUAGUGAUGGGUUAUGGACAUGAAUUUGGAUGAAUUUGGAUAUGAAUUAUGGAACGAUGACUAACGGGUAAUUUGGAAAAAUAAGAGAUAACGGAAGAAUUGACAAAACGUAUACAAAAACGACUGAUUCUAUCAUGGAAGAUAUGACUCAGGUAUUCUCAUUAUAGUCGCUUGUCAACUUAGAUGUCUCCAUAUUUGAGAACAGCAAUUUUCAAUAUAUAUCCAGAUCUUUGUGAAAUUUCAAGCUGGAAAUUUUAUGAGCACCAGAUAUUGUUGAAAUGUAGAUUUUCUAUAGGAAUUCUGUAACAAAUAUACAAGACAAUAUAAAGGAAUCUGCUGCCGUCAAAAUAAGAAUUUCCUGUUAGAACUGAAAAAAUAGAAACGGAGGAUCAUAAAAUAUACACAGAGUCGUAACAAUAUAUCAUGAAAAAAGUGCUGCUUAUUAUCAUACUAUGACUUCCAUGUAGCUAAAUUAUAAAACGUCAGACGAAUUUUAUCCAUGCAUAUGGUGUUAUUUCAGUUGAAAAAAAAAAAAUGAAAUAUGCUACAUUUUAAUAAUUUCAAUAAUUGGGAUUAUCAUGCUGAAAUGUCUGGAAUUAUAUAAAGAUUAACGAUUCUAAACUCACAAACCUCUCCGACUAUUCCGAAAAGGAAAAGAAAUAUUCGUUUACUAUCGAUGUAUGAUCGCACGAAAAAAUCAAACAUAACUCCGAUUUUUGAUUGUAGAUGAAAAUCACAAAGAAAGAACAUCAUAGGUCACAUUUCCUACGUUUUACAGGAAACGAAUUCUAACAUUACCAAAAUUGUGUUUGUGUUCAAAAAACAGUGCUCGUCACAAUAUUCCAGUAUCAGAAAGAUAUUAAAAUAUUGCUUGUGUUAAUAAUUAUACAAAUUAUUCGUUCGCAAUUACAUCUUCUGUGUACUAAUAACGCAAUGUACCACAUUAAUAUGAUAUUUUCAGUAAAACCACAUAUUAUGUCUGUCAUUCGAAGGACACGUGAUUGUAAAUAUAACACUAUAAAAUCUUUUUUAUUGAAUGUUUUUGACAUUAAAAGGGUGAAGAAUGGCAAAAAUAAAAUUAAUCGAAAAUCAAAAUUCUAUUCCACUUCAGAAUUUCCAGAAGAAUGAAAUAUAAAUCAAUGAUUAAUAUAAAUAAUUUAUUAUUAAAUUAUCAAUUAUUAAAUAUUAAUUCGUAUCAUCACUACCAACAACUAUCGUAAAGUCAAUGAUGUAGGAGAAAUUCUACUGAAGAGAGUAUAUCAUAGUAAAGUACGAGAUAGACGUACUCAGCAUCUGAAAUGCAAUAACAUUUGACUAGCAGAUAUCAGACAACGAUUAUACUAAACAGACUGAAAAAAUCACCAUCGAAAAACCGACAUGAAAAGCACCGAAAAAUUCGAAAAGGUUUAUCACAUUUUCCGUUGAACUCCUCAACAUGAUAAAGGGUAACAAAUUCUACGCUUCUACGCUAAUUCUAUUAUCAAAAAUAUACCAAGAAAGAAGGACAAAAAAUAAGAGAUAAAAAAGUGUUUCGUUAAAAACUCGAAACAGAAUUUCCUACAUGUCAAUAUUAUGCACAGGAGUUAUUCUUUCUCCGCGUAUCUAAAAACUAUUUGUCGACCAUCCUCGUUACUUUUAAACACCGCUAGUUGUCUCGAAGGAUUUCUGCGAUGCCCUUUAUCUAUAAAUUCGAAGGCGUUGAAUUAAAAGGAACCUUGAAUCUUAAAAAAGGAAAUGUAAAAAUAUCUAAAUUAAUAAAAUAAAGACACAUACUGGACACAUUAUAGAACAGACCAUCAUCGCCGCGCCAAAAACUCCUUUCAUUUUAGUUAGCCACGAAUUAUCGUACGGCGAGAGUUCGACCACCGAUAAGAAAAUCUUAUUCAGUAUAGGAUUUUGCGGAUCCUCCAUCGUUACAGGGAGGCAAAAACUCGUCUAUGACAGUGGACUUGCAACAAGUUUCUCCGAUUCCCUGACUAUCUCGUGUAUUAACUCAGCUACAAUUUUCUUGUUCGACGCGUUUGGAAAGUUAAAGAACCAUAAUGUAACUUAAUGCAACUAGUAAACGAAACGAAGGAGAAACAAAUAGCUGUCUAUUAAAAGCUGCAGUUCCAUUAAUCUACCGGUGUGCAACUUCUACAAUGUUUUAUCCUAGGGAUGAAAUCGUGGAGUUGAUUGCAUACUUCGUGAGAACUCGUGCAACCGUUUCUCGUGUUUUCACGUUUGAAUGAGUUGGAGCUGGGAAACCGACCGAUGGCCUGUUUCCAAUGUUAUGGAAAUUUAAUGACGUCAAUUUCCCUUCCGUGUCCGUCUGUUUCACGCAUGAUCGUCCCCACUGCAGUAUACUUGCCCAUUCCUGAUUCACUGUGCAACAAGUUGCUCCCUAUUCUCAACAGUGAUGCAUAGAGCUUGUGUGUACGAGUCUGUUCUCGAAGAGGACAUAGUUGAGAAUCCAUGGCUGAUGAUCAAACUAAUAGAACGUUAAGCCACGUUAAUGUUUUAGAAAUUUUGACGCGAAUGCAACAGGUUGCAAUCAAAGGCAAGUAUACUUCACAUU